ACCCACCAGCAGAGUACUUCGUCUCACACUCACCACCCAGCUGAAGCGAUGGCCACCGUCGGCGGCGCGGCAGCACUUCUGAGGAACAAGAUGUCCGUCUCCUGCGUGAUGCUCCUCGUGGUCCUGCUGAUGGCCACGUAGAUAGCGGCGGCGGGCGGCGGGGCACGCCGGCUCCUGUGGUGCGGCUACAGAAACUGCAACUGCCGCACUUGCCCCAUAUAUGGGUGGGCGUGUUGCCCGCCGUAGGGCGCGGGCGGCGGCACGCACGGCAAGAUCGCACCUUUGCUUCGAUCGCUCUGUUAAAGGUUUGAUGAAUAACGUGCAUGUACGAGGUUACAUGUGGUUGCUGCUGUUUCAACGGUACUACUAAGAGUGGUGGUGGUCGUCGUCGUCGUCGUCGUGGUCAGUGGUUCUGGUGCAGUUUACUAGUAGUAUAUCAAGCUUAAAUGAACGAAAAUCCUUCUUAAUC